rnacentral:rRNA from 1 species
CGCAUCUGUGCAUGCAGCAUAUCAAUAAGCGGAGGAAAAGAAACUAACAAGGAUUCCCUUAGUAACGGCGAGUGAAGCGGGAAGAGCUCAAAUUUGAAAUCUUCAAGGUUUUACCUUGACGAAUUGUAGUUUAAAGAAGUGUUUUCUGUUGAAGUUUUGGUAAAAGUUCUUUGGAAUAGGACAUCAUAGAGGGUGAGAAUCCCGUAUUUGACCAUUAUUUUCAGCUGUGUGAUACACUUUCAAAGAGUCGGAUUGUUUGGGAAUGCAGUCCAAAAUGGGUGGUAAAUUUCAUCUAAAGCUAAAUAUUGGCGAGAGACCGAUAGCGAACAAGUACCGUGAGGGAAAGAUGAAAAGAACUUUGAAAAGAGAGCUAAACAGUACGUGAAAUUGUCAAAAGGGAAGCGUUUGACACCAGUGUUGUUUUCUCGAAAAUCAAUUAAAAAGAGUUUGAUUUUGUUGUGUAUUGACCUUAACAGCUUGCAUUUCAAUUUUCUUGCUUUUUUUAAUGCACUUUUCGUUUAACAAGUCAACAUCAGUUUCUUUUGUUGUAAAAAGGUCAUUGGAAGGUGGCUUUCCUUUUCGGAGAAAGUGUUUAUAGCCUUUGACUCCUGCAAUCGGAGAGACUGAGGUCUGCAGCGUAGAUCCUUCGGGGUUAGAUACAUUUGUGCUAAGCUACUAGCUUUUUCAUAGACAACUUGUUGACUAUGAUUUAGUCUUGUAGCUUACUCGCUUAUGCUAUUUUACCUACGCUUAGGAUGUUGACGCGCGUGUGUGCGUG